UGCGGUCAAGUGAGCUAAGGGCGCACGGUGGAUACCUAGGCACACAGAGGCGAGGAAGGGCGUGCUACCGACGAAACGCUGCGGGGAGCUGGAAGGAAGCGGUGAUCCGCAGGUACCCGAAUGGGGCAACCCGGCAAGGCGAGAGCCUUGUCACCCUUAGCUGAAUCCAUAGGCUAAGGGGGCGAACGCGGCGAACUGAAACAUCUUAGUAGCCGCAGGAAGAGAAAACAACCGUGAUUUCCUCAGUAGCGGCGAGCGAACGGGAAAGAGCCUAAACCGCUUAGCUACGGCUAGGCGGGGUUGUGGGACGGCCAGAAGGUAGCCGGAAGGCUAGGCGAAGCAGCUGGAAUGCUGCACCAGAGAAGGUGAAAGUCCUGUAGCCGAAAGCUGGAAGGCGCCGGCCGGAUCCCGAGUAGCACGGGGCAGGUGAAAUCCCGUGUGAAUCGGCGAGAACCAUCUCGCAAGGCUAAAUACUCCUGUGUGACCGAUAGUGAACCAGUACCGUGAGGGAAAGGUGAAAAGAACCCCGGGAGGGGAGUGAAAGAGAGCAUGAAACCGUGUGCCUACAAGCAGUGGGAGCCCGAUUGAACGGGUGACCGCGUGCCUGUUGAAGAAUGAGCCAGCGAGUUACAGCGUGGGGCAGGUUAAGGCGGGAAUGCCGGAGCCAAAGGGAAACCGAGUCUGAAUAGGGCGUUGGUCGCACGCUGUAGACCCGAACCUGGGUGAUCUAACCAUGGCCAGGCUGAAGCUUGGGUAAAGCCAAGUGGAGGGCCGAACCGGUUGAUGUUGAAAAAUCAUCGGAUGAGCUGUGGUUAGGGGUGAAAUGCCAAUCGAACCCAGAGCUAGCUGGUUCUCCCCGAAAUGCGUUGAGGCGCAGCGUCGACAGGUACCUGGUGGGGUAGAGCCACUGAAUCGGUAAGGGCGGCGAGAGCUGUACCAAAUCGAACCAAACUGCGAAUACGCCAGGGUUAGUCGGCAGUGAGACGGUGGGGGAUAAGCUCCAUCGUCGAGAGGGGAACAGCCCAGACCACCAACUAAGGCCCCCAAGACAUCGCUCAGUGGUUAAGGAGGUGGGGGUGCGAAGACAACCAGGAGGUUGGCUUAGAAGCAGCCACCCUUUAAACAGUGCGUAACAGCUGACUGGUCAAGCGCCCUUGCGCCGAAAAUGAACGGGACUAAGCGAUGCGCCGAAGUUGUGGAUGUGAAUGGUAGGGGAGCGUUCCGCACUAGGGUGAAGCGGUAGCGUGAGCAGCCGUGGACGAGGCGGAAGUGAGAAUGUUGGCUUGAGUAGCGCAAACAUUGGUGAGAAUCCAAUGCCCCGAAAACCCAAGGGUUCCCCCGGAAGGUUCGUCCGCGGGGGGUUAGUCGGGACCUAAGGCGAGGCCGACAGGCGUAGUCGAUGGAGACAGGGUUGAUAAUCCCUGACUGGCAACUGGAGCUGAGGAGGGACGCACGAGAGCUAGCCACACCCUGAAUGGAUUGGGAGGGGUCUACGGACUCCGCGUGGUGAAGGGUAGUGCCAAGAAAAGCUCGUAGGCGAUGAAGGUUGUCACCCGUACCCGAAACCGACACAGGUGGGUGGGUAGAGGAUACCGAGGGGCGCGAGAUAACCCUCUCUAAGGAACUCGGCAAAAUGACCCCGUAACUUCGGGAGAAGGGGUGCCAGCGCGAGCUGGCCGCAGUGAAAGGGCCCAGGCAACUGUUUACCAAAAACACAGGUCUCUGCUAAGUCGCAAGACGACGUAUAGGGGCUGACGCCUGCCCAGUGCCGGAAGGUUAAGGAAGUCGGUUAGCGCAAGCGAAGCUGGCGACCGAAGCCCCGGUGAACGGCGGCCGUAACUAUAACGGUCCUAAGGUAGCGAAAUUCCUUGUCGGGUAAGUUCCGACCCGCACGAAAGGCGUAAUGAUCUGGGCGCUGUCUCGGAGAGGGACUCGGCGAAAUAGACUUGUCUGUGAAGAUGCGGACUACCUGCACCUGGACAGAAAGACCCUAUGAAGCUUUACUGUAGCCUGGAAUUGGGUUCGGGCCUUGCUUGCGCAGGAUAGGUGGGAGACUGGGAAGUACCCCUUGCGGGGGGUAUGGAGUCGCCGGUGAGAUACCACUCUGGCAGGGCUAGAAUUCUAACUUUCCGCCCGGAAGCGGGGGAAAAGACAGUUUCAGGUGGGCAGUUUGACUGGGGCGGUCGCCUCCUAAAAGGUAACGGAGGCGCGCAAAGGUUCCCUCAGACUGGUUGGAAAUCAGUCGUAGAGUGCAAAGGCAUAAGGGAGCUUGACUGCAAGACCUACAAGUCGAGCAGGGACGAAAGUCGGCCUUAGUGAUCCGACGGCGCUGAGUGGAAGGGCCGUCGCUCAACGGAUAAAAGUUACUCUAGGGAUAACAGGCUGAUCUCCCCCAAGAGUUCACAUCGACGGGGAGGUUUGGCACCUCGAUGUCGGCUCAUCGCAACCUGGGGCGGAAGUACGUCCCAAGGGUUGGGCUGUUCGCCCAUUAAAGCGGUACGUGAGCUGGGUUCAGAACGUCGUGAGACAGUUCGGUCCAUAUCCGGUGCAGGCGCGAGAGGAUUGAGAGGAGCUCUCCCUAGUACGAGAGGACCGGGAGGGACGUACCGCUGGUGUACCAGUUAUCGUGCCAACGGUAGACGCUGGGUAGCCAUGUGCGGAGUGGAUAACCGCUGAAAGCAUCUAAGUGGGAAGCCCACCUCAAGAUGAGUCCUCUGUUAAGGUCCCGGGAAGACGACCCGGUAAUAGGCUCUAGGUGGAAGUGCAGCAAUGCAUGCAGCCGAGGAGUCCUAAUAGACCGUCUGCUUGACCCAA
rnacentral:rRNA from 1 species